AGAGUUUGAUCCUGGCUUAGGACGAACGCUGGCGGCGUGCCUAACACAUGCAAGUCGAGCGGGGACAUACGACGGAGUCAAAGUUUCGGAUGGAGACGAAGAUGUAUGUUCUAGCGGCGGACGGGUGAGUAACGCGUGAGCAACCUGUCCCUUACAGGGGGAUAACACAGCGAAAGUUGUACUAAUACCGCAUGAGACCACGGGAGGACAUCCUCCAGGGGUCAAAGGAGCAAUCCGGUAAGGGGUGGGCUCGCGUCCGAUUAGAUAGUUGGUGAGGUAACGGCCCACCAAGUCGACGAUCGGUAGCCGACCUGAGAGGGUGAUCGGCCACAUUGGGACUGAGACACGGCCCAAACUCCUACGGGAGGCAGCAGUGGGGAAUAUUGGGCAAAUGGGGGAAACCCUGACCCAGCAACGCCGCGUGAGGGAAGAAGGUUUUCGGAUCGUAAACCUCUGUCCUUGGUGAAGAGGAAGAGACGGUAGCCAAGGAGGAAGCCCCGGCUAACUACGUGCCAGCCGCGGC
rnacentral:rRNA from 1 species